GACGAUUCCUACGGGAGGCAGCAGUGGGGAAUAUUGCACAAUGGACGAAAGUCUGAUGCAGCAACGCCGCGUGGAGGAUGACACAUUUCGGUGCGUAAACUCCUUUUAUAGGUCAAGAUAAUGACGGUAGCCUAUGAAUAAGCGUCGGCUAACUCCGUGCCAGCAGCCGCGGUAAUAAUCUCUAGAGGG
rnacentral:rRNA from 1 species